GACAAUUUCCGACAACGAAAAAAAAAAAAUCUUGGAUGAAGAAGUGUCAGUGUCACUUCUAAUGCCUUGUUUCCUCUGUAGCUGGCAAAGAUUGCUGAUAGUAAGGACCAUGUCUCUCCUGUAAAUGACGGAUUCAAGGCUUUACAAGGGGUCAUUGACUCGAUCCUGAAUAAGUCAUGUAUUGAGAUUCUGUCAGCAGAGCCCUCCAGCAUCUGUGCAGGAGUGGUGAAGCCUUUAAUUGUGGAAGACACAUAUCUUCUCUGCCCUGCACCAGUGCUUCAAGAUGAGGGGAUGUAAGUCCUAGAUUUUAUUCAAAUGAAUGAGAGGUUUCAUCUGCUCUGUUUUUAAAGACCCCAGUAAAUGACAGAUGGAACAUUUUUACUUUUCAGGGCAGCAAAUCUCUACAUCACUAUGAACGAGGGUCUCAGUUUCAUCUCCAGCUCAGUCACAAUAACCGCAGUGGGAUGUGUAUCUGACCCCUAGGAAAUCCCCCACUGACUGUGUGUCAGGUGGCAUGUGUAUACAGAGUGCACAAGAGGGAUGACCCAACAGUACAAUGUCCAAUUUAUGUUGAAGUUGGUAAGUGAUGCAGUCUUUGGUUGAGGUGGCAUCAGGGGCUGAAGUGUUUUUUUUUUCUGUUGUUGUUGGGUUCAGGGGUGUUGGGUUGGUCUGAACACACAGCUAAGGAGGAAGCAUGUCUGCCGGAAAUAGAAAAUAAAAUGCUUCUACAAAUAAGAUUUCUAAUGAAUAAAAAAAAUAUUUAUUCUCGA